UACGUAGGGUGCAAGCGUUAAUCGGAAUUACUGGGCGUAAAGCGUGCGCAGGCGGUUUUGUAAGUCUGACGUGAAAUCCCCGAGCUCAACUUGGGAACUGCGUUUGAAACUACAAGACUAGAAUAUGUCAGAGGGGGGUAGAAUUCCACGUGUAGCAGUGAAAUGCGUAGAGAUGUGGAGGAACACCGAUGGCGAAGGCAGCCCCCUGGGUCAAGAUUGACGCUCAUGCACGAAAGCGUGGGGAGCAAACAGG
rnacentral:rRNA from 1 species